rnacentral:rRNA from 1 species
CCUCCGGGGGGCAGCAGUGGGGAAUAUUGGACAAUGGGGGGAACCCUGAUCCAGCCAUGCCGCGUGUGUGAAGAAGGCCCUCGGGUUGUAAAGCACUUUCAGUGAGGAAGAACGCCUGGUGGUUAAUACCCAUCAGGAAAGACAUCACUCACAGAAGAAGCACCGGCUAACUCCGUGCCAGCAGCCGCGGUAAUACGGAGGGUGCGAGCGUUAAUCGGAAUUACUGGGCGUAAAGCGCGCGUAGGUGGCUUGAUAAGCCGGUUGUGAAAGCCCCGGGCUCAACCUGGGAACGGCAUCCGGAACUGUCAAGCUAGAGUGCAGGAGAGGAAGGUAGAAUUCCCGGUGUAGCGGUGAAAUGCGUAGAGAUCGGGAGGAAUACCAGUGGCGAAGGCGGCCUUCUGGACUGACACUGACACUGAGGUGCGAAAGCGUGGGUAGCAAACAGGAUUAGAUACCCUGGUAGUC